rnacentral:rRNA from 1 species
UACGUAGGGUGCGAGCGUUAAUCGGAAUUACUGGGCGUAAAGCGUGCGCAGGCGGUUUUGUACGCCAGAUGUGAAAGCCCCGGGCUUAACCUGGGAAUGGCAUUUGGGACUGCAAGGCUUGAGUGCGGCAGAGGAGACUGGAAUUCCUGGUGUAGCAGUGAAAUGCGUAGAUAUCAGGAGGAAUACCGAUGGCGAAGGCAGGUCUCUGGGCUGACACUGACGCUCAGGCACGAAAGCGUGGGGAGCAAACAGG